rnacentral:rRNA from 1 species
ACUCCUACGGGAGGCAGCAGUGGGGAAUAUUGCACAAUGGGGGAAACCCUGAUGCAGCCAUGCCGCGUGUGUGAAGAAGGCCUUCGGGUUGUAAAGCACUUUCAGUCGUGAGGAGGUGUAGUGUUAAUAGCAUCUUANCAUUUUGACGUUAGCGACAGAAGAAGCACCGGCUAACUCCGUGCCAGCAGCCGCGGUAAUACGGAGGGUGCGAGCGUUAAUCGGAAUUACUGGGCGUAAAGCGCAUGCAGGUGGUUUGUUAAGUCAGAUGUGAAAGCCCGGGGCUCAACCUCGGAAUAGCAUUUGAAACUGGCAAGCUAGAGUACUGUAGAGGGGGUAGAAGUUUCAGGUGUAGCGGUGAAAUGCGUAGAGAUCUGAAGGAAUACCGGUGGCGAAGGCGGCCCCCUGGACGAUACUGACACUCAGAUGCGAAAGCG